AAAAGUCUGCUAACCGGAACCGAUUGAUAGCUAAAUACCCCACAUUGAAGGGAAUUCAGUGGCUAGCAGCAUACUCCACAUAGAAGUCGGUGGCUAUCAACGUAUAAAAUGUCGCUCUCAGGCGUACAGCUUUGCUGUAAAACGGAACCAGGGUUCAAGUGGAACAGUGCAAAUUUAAGCUGCAACUCAGCACAGACUACAUUGGAAGAUAUGGGCUGACCUGACUCCUCAUGGAGAAGCGCCCAGCCUGAAACCCACCAUGUGGCAGAGAUGCCUAGUCUGAAGAGAUGGAAUUGUUGAUCCUUACCUGGCCAAGAGUAGAAACACUGAAG